UCUAAGUGAAAGAUAUUGCAGUGCUGAGGAGAGGACAAUCUAAAUAAAUUCCCAACUCUGGCACUAAGAACUUCAGCACUUUCAGAUUAUUUUCCUUUAAUUUGAAUUAACAUCUAAAAUAUUCCACAAACAUUAGAGGAGCAGGGGCAUGUGCUGCUUUAUUUCAAGAGACACAGGAGAGGAUGCAAAAGGAAGUUACAACUCUUGUCACAGCCCGUGUACUUGUUUUUAUUCUUGUGUCAAUUUAAGCACAAAUAUUUAAGUUUUUCAAAGCUAAAUAAACUACCUUAUUUAGUUCCAAGUGACACCAUGUGUCUAGAUGUCCCAAUCAGCUUUGAAAAACCACACAUACCGUAAUUUCAAUUCUGACAAUGAUUUUACUCUGGAUCUAUAAUAUUAAAAUGCAAUCAGAAUAUGAUCCUUCCAUCAGAUUUUGUUUACACAUCAUUGUAUUCUGGCUGAGAAUAAACUGACAUUUUGUGAUAGAAAAUCUCAUAUUUUAUAUGCUUAUAUUUUUCACAGUUUCUAUGAUUUGGAAGUUUCCUCCAUGAGGCUGCAGGCAGAACUAUUAAUUAGUACCAAAUGAAGGACAGAUUCAUCACUGUCAGUAUCCCAGUGGCUUUGUUUUUUCUAAAAAGGAAAUUCUUUAAGUGCCUGUUUGAUUUAUUUGUUCCUCACAGUUAUAUGCAGUUACAACAAAUUGUUGAUCAUUUUCAUCAUUCUUAUUAUUGCAUACAGAAUAUCUGAACAUGCUCCCAUUGAAGUAAAAAGGAAUCUGCCACUUAUUUCAAUCAAAUAAUGUUCAGACAUAAACGUUGCAGCCAGAUUCAAUAAUGAAAAUAUGCAUUGACACUUCAGACUCAUCAUCAUUUUAUACUGAACAGUGCAAUUAUGAAUUGUUGCUUAUGUGUCUGAAGGAGCUUGUUAAAGCCAGGCUUUAACAACAAGAACAAAGUUGCAUGCUAUCAGGACUAGUCAGUCCUAAGAAUUUUGCCAAAAACUUCUGUCAUCAUCAUUUUGAAUAUAUCCCAGACUCCAAACCGGGCAGCAUUCUGAUGUGGUUCUACCUGUAGCUUUUGCUUAAAGGAAGCAUACCAAAAAUACCAAAAUUGCUUUCAUACUGGGUCUAUCUGGGAUGAAAUUAACUUUCUACACAGCAGCCCCUAUGGUGCUGUGUUCUAGAUCCAUGACUAAACCACUUUUAGCAACACACCAGUUUUCUGGCUAUUGCUGAGCAUUGCUUGCACAGCCUCAAGGCUGUUUCUCGUCCUGUCCCCACCAGAGCAACUAGGCUGGGGCUGGGCAAGAAAUGGGGAGGGGACACAGCUGGGACAGCUGACCCAAACUGAUCAGAUUGAUAUUCUGUACCAGAUAACAUCAUCCUCACCAAUAAAAAUGGGGUGUGGGAGGGUUGCCUGCCAAGGUGGAUGUUGCUUGGUGAGUGGCUGGGCAUCAGUCUACUUAUAUGAGGUGUUGAGUGAUUGCCUCUGCAUCACUUAUUAAACUGCCUUUAUCAUGACCCACAAGUUUUCUCACUUUUGUUCUUCCUAUUCUCUUCCCCAUCCAGCUGCGUGGGGUAGCUGGCAGUGAGGGAGUGGCUAUGUGGGUGCUUAGCUGCUGGUUGGAGCCAGCCCACCACAGCUUUACAUAUCGCAAAUUAGGUUUUAUUACUCCAUAAAGAGAAAAAAUUAUUCUUUCUUCAUUGAAAAAUGUUUAAAUGAGAUUAAAAGGGGGGUGGGGGAAGGGAGGGUCAGUGGAAGUGUGUCAUCUGCAUCCUGCCCAUAACAUUAUCCUAGUAUUUCUCCCUUUCCUUUUAGACUUCUCAGUCACCAAUGUUUUAGUUGCUUUGUGGCUGCAACUAACUCCACAAAAUCUCUUCUAAGGCCUUAGGAAAAGUAUCAUCUUUCCAUUUCUUGUGAAAUUUGACUUAGUGCUAACUCAGUGGAUUUUAACUCAUAUGUCCCAUAAUCUCUGCUCUUACCAUGGGCUGUCUAUAUUCAGUGUCUCACACAGUACAUCUGAAUUGCUAAGAAAUUAGAAUGUACUAGGUUAUUGUCUUCCUAAAUGCUGUGUUUUCAACAAUCCCAGCUAGCUCUCUGCAGAACAAUAGGUACUCUCCAGGAACAACUUGGGGAAUAUAUACUCCAGAAACCACUACCAAAAGGUAAUAUGGACAAACACACACACCCGUUUUGGCUCUUCACUGUCCUACAACAGUAGCCCAAAAGGCUUUAAAGACCUCUUACAACACAUCCCUGCAAUUUCAUGGUAAGAAACACCACUGUGGUGAGCUGUAACAUAAUCCUAAAAUCAUUCAAGAUACUUGGAACUGCAACACUCCAUCCCCCGCCCGCCCACACACACUUCCACCGUUCUGACUUGGGGACAUUUGUCCAAAUCCAGUGUGGGGUGAACAAACUAAUACACUCUAGAAGGAGUCAGAUGUUGUCUGUGCAAAUGCCAGUCUGAGAAGGUGGUGCUGAAGGUAGUGAGGGUUCUUGGACUCUGUUUUCUUCAGCAGUACAAACAAACCCUUAUAGACUGGCUGUCUAAUCCACCUUUGUUUCAGAAGAUGCAAGUCUUACCUUCUCUAGCAAAACAUGGUAAAGAUCCAGCAAUCAACUACAAAUGAACAAGUAGAGGAGAUGAAAUCUGUGACAUCCAGAUGUAGAAUAGAAAUAUAUUUAAUAGCAAAAGAAAACAAUAUAUUUGAAAACCUAUUAUUUGGAUGGAAAGUAACUGUUUUUAAAAAAAACUAUUUAAGUGAAGAAUUAUUUUGGACAAAAAAAAAUAAAAAGUUAUUGACUUCUUCCUCAGAUUCCAUUUAUGGUAGUAAUUCUUAUUUGUGACUGAUCAAAGUGGUGUGAACACUAAAGAAAGCAUUCUAUUUGAGCAAUCUGAGGUUUUCAUAUGAAAUGAAGCCUUAAAAGAAAAGUCACUGAUGACUGCUCAUUAUUUCUUUCUUUAAUUUCCUGUCUUUCUCCUUGUUCAGUAUGGGGUUAGCAAAUACACACAGUCCAGAAAAAAAUACAUGUAUAUUGUCUUACUAGUCUUCCUCUGAUAUUUUAAUAACCAGUUUACUGUUUCUGGAUCAUGUAAUGAACAUUCCAGCCCAGCAGCAUUUGGAGUCAGUGCAUAAGUGUAAAUAGGCAAGUACUUCAGUCAAGGGAUUUUGGUAAAGAACGACCGUGCUGUGCAAGUUUAAAAUGAGAAGACUAGUACCUAGCACAAUUCAUCUCACUUUUUGGUUACGUUUAUUGUAUUGACACAGUGAAAUACUACCACUGUGUAGCAAAUUCAAGUUUGCAGUUACGGAAGAAAGCAGAUUUUAUAGGGAAAAGUUGGCUUGGAGCCCAUAUUUGUGAUUAAUAAGCAUAAUAUUUUAGGGGAUCUAAACAAAUACAGAGGAGUAUAGUAAAACCAUGAAAGAGCUUCAUUUUUAUAUGAAUUGUGCUAUACUCCUGCCCUCUGUUCCAGUGUUUAUCUUCUAUAUAAACCUACUCUUCCACUAUGUAGGAUUUAUUAUUAUGUAUUACCUGCUCAGAACCCAUUGAAUCAGGGUGCUUUUAUCACAGACAAAGGGGUGAUUUCUUCUGCUCAUAAACACGCACUGUGAUCAGUAAAGCACUGCAUUCUGUAUCAUCUCUUAGUCUAGCAGGAUUUCUGCAGAAUCUUUAUUUUUAAAUUGCAGCCUAAACUUCUAGAGUCAAACAGGCAUCUUGCUAACCAAACAGAGAGCUUCACAUGCAUAAAGAAUGAGUUUUAUCACUGCCUAAGUACCUCAAUGGAAAAAUAUGCAGAGUUGCAUAGAGGUGGGUGAGUAACAUGGUAAAGUGUACCCUUUAUUUAAUACAAAGCUGCCCUUUGUGGAUGAUGCAUCAUGCAGCAGGCCUUGUUGGCUGAGUCAGGAGAAAUGAAUUACUAACCACCUGGAUCCACAGUCUAAUCCACAUAAUAUUGCUGCUGGUGAAUGGAUAGAGCAGCAGCAGAACUGAGACUCUGAAGUGGCAAUAAUAACACUGCGGUGGGUCAACCAGCAGUUCACAUUUUGAGAGGCACACACUUGCCUCGAACUGUUGUGAAAGAUUCACAGAAAGAAAAAGGCCUGGAGUGUAGGAUCAUAAAAUAAAGUUUGACAGUCAGCAUUUAAUUUGCCUCUUUCCAAGCCUUCUGGAAGACGAAUUACACUAGGAAAUUGCAGUCAUUAGCAGGGCAGUCUUAUGCUUAACAGACAUUUGGACUUUUCUGCUCCAUAUAUUUGCCAUUCUAGCCAGCAAGGGUGGGCCAUACUUCAUGAAUUUUAUAUUGUGACCAAGAAAAAAUCACCUGAUGAUGAGCAAAAAGGAGAAAGAAGAUACAAAUGGGAGGAAAAUGAAGGGUUUUGUUCUGGAGAGAACACUUCCAUUUGCUGCCUUAGCUUUAUGUGUCAGGCAACAAGCUGUCUUUCAAAGAAUGAAGUUUGGAUCUCACCCAUGUUAGCAAAAAUCCAGUAUUGACAGCAAGUAUCCUAAUCUAGGUUUUGACUGAUGCACCCAAGAAACUGGCACCAAGAAUACGUUUCAAAGAAGUUAAAACUCAUUAAUGUUCUUCCAUACUAGCAUCUUUGUAACUUACCAAAUACUAAGGCCAGGUGUAUCUACAAAAAAGCAUUUGAAACACAGAAAAUCUUCCAGAUUGCUAGGGUUUUUUCAAUAUUUUUUGUGUGAUUUCAUUCUUAUUGAAAAUUGAUGUACAUGUUAUUUAGAAAUUAAUCAAACAGAAAAGCUGGCAGACUCUUGUUCCAUUCAGUGAAUGAGUUCCUGCUGACCAGUAUGAUUUAAUAUGAGGCUGUGUCAAACACUAGUCAUCAGUCCACACUGGUUCAAGCAAAAUCUUCCAGUAGGUUCCCAUUACUUUCCUUCCCAAGUCAAUAAUAAACUAAAUGACAACUAAUGUUCACUCUUGUGCAGCGUAUGUCAUACUUACAACCCAUUUAGUAAAGACUGCCUCUGAUCACAUUUACCAUAUGUUUUUCACUGACACUUUAAGAGUAACUGUUCUGCUUCCUUAAACAAGUCUCAAAUUGUAUUGAGAAUUCAUCUUUAAAAUAACAAACAAUAAUAGAUGUUGUUGUCUCACCCAUCUUGUGCUAAAAGCCUUUUCAUUUCAUGCAGAGUCAUAUCCUUAGAAUAUUUCUACCAAUUGCUGUUCACAUCACCAAAAAGAUUUCUGUUUUCUUUUGUUUCUUACAGUCAGGUUAAUAUAUACUAUCAGGAUGCUAAGUGUACACCACUAAGCUUUUGGCAAAUGCUCUAGGGAGUGCAUCAGGAAGUAAAAGUCUUAACCCACGGUUAUAUUCACUCUGUAAAACAUACCUCUACCGCUGAAAAAAAAAGUCCCUGUAGCACAAAGAGAAUAUUUACUGAGUUCCUUUCAGCAAUUUCAAAACCAUACAGGAAUUGCCAUUCAAAUUGAUCACACCUAAAUAAACUUCAUUAUUUUAUGCUUGCAAACUAAGAAGCUUGCUCUAUGUAGACUGAUAGCAAUAUUUUCUAAAGGGACUAAUGCUGUCUUAAAGAAAAGCAGUGCCAGAAUCCUCUUGAUACAUCAAGGAGAACAAAAUAAAACAAAAAAGAUUAGCAUUAGCUCUCUUUCCCAGAAUGUUUCCCCUUGUAGGUAAAGGAGAGAUAACUUCCAUAUGUAUCUGCCUCUUUUUAGUCUAUACAUUAGGUAGAACCAUUUUGUUAUUUCUCCCUGCAGUGACCAGCAGAUAUACUAGUCCUGCUUUUUUCUCCUAUUUUCUCUGUGAUUUGCAGAGCAGAAAGCCUGUCAGAGUCUCCUUGCAGCCUCUGGCUUAGGGCAAAAUGAGUUAUCCUGCAAAGAGGAAUGGUAGAAUAAUAAGUCUCUUACAGGUACAUAUAUAUUCUGUUUAGAGCUUCUUCUGAACAUCUUCAAAAGUACACUAUUGUCACUUUUGUUCUUUCAUUAAGAGCAAUCUUGUGACAAGGUCAGCAGCCUAAUAAGGUUUUAAGAUAAAGUCUGUUACCUAGUAUAACUACGAGUUUUGCAUUUUCACUUUUGUUGAGUUUGCUAUUGUGCCUCAGAAUCUUAGGAAAAAAUAUUUAGGAUCAGAUACUAAGAAGUUUGUAGACAUCUACAAGAAGCUUUGAAAAUUCUGUUAUUCAUCUCUGGGUUGCACUCUUAAUACCUCCUUAAACCUGUAAUCUCCGAUUAAAGUGCUCCUUUAUGAAACGGGGACUGUAUUAGCAAUUUACUUCUUCCUUUACAAACAGGUUGCAUAAAUUAAGACUGUGAAUUGACCACUGCUCAGAUACUGGAGGUCUAUAAGAUGCAUAGAACACAGCCAAAUAAGAUCAGCAUGUGAAACGAAUACCACACUUAACCUGCCAGCUCUAAUUUCUCAUUAAAUAAGGUAUCCACAACUUGAUUCAGUCAUCCCUGAAAGACUAGCAUUUUUUCUUCAGUUCAGUGUCAAAAAUAAACAAACAAAAACCUACAAAAAUCUUUCUUUACUUUCUAAAGACAAAAAUUUAAGCUUAAGACUCCAAGCCAAGCCAAUUCAUUUGUACUUAAAAAUGAACACCUGAGAUUGCUUCUGCUGAACCUCUGUCACUGAACCUUUAUCCUCUAGCAGAAAUAGUGAAAGGCGGUUGGGAGGGAAGGAAAAAAGGAAAAGACCUUUACUUGAUAGCAAAGACUUGCAGCGGGGCAUUCUAUUCAACAGCAUAUAUGGCACAUGCAUUUUCAUUCCUGGGCAUGUUUUAUUUACAGCUGUGAUUUCUUUUGCUCUCUUUUUCCCUUCUGAGUUCAAAGUACUUUCAAUUUCUUCUGUGCUCUAUUCUUAGCCAAGAAGAUUUUUCUAACAGAAAGUGAGGGUAGUGGAAUGGAAUGGAAUGGAAUGGAAUGGAAUGGAAUGGAAUGGAAUGGAAUGGAAUGGAAUGGAAUGGAAUGGAAUCACCCAAUUUUGAUAGCACAUUCAGGAUUGCUUAAGCUUCUGUAACUAAAGGAGGUGGGCUUAAUGUAUUUUUCUUCUACCGAAUUAAAACAGUUUGUUGCCCACUUGAAUAUAGAAAACCUGAAGAUGAAAUGGUGAAGUAACAGUGCAAUAUUAAAAUUGUGCACUUUGUGUCAGAACAAAUUCUCUGUAACUAUUUGAACAUCAGGACAAUUAAUUUACCUCAUUAGGGAAUCUUGUUUAUUUCCUCCCAAUUUUUCUUCAGACAUACCACUUCAUUUCCUCAGUUCCUAACACACUGUAACACUUUAUUUAUAACACUUCACAAGGUGUCCUGGCUUAGCCUCAGCUGGCCAAUAAAUACCAUGCAGCCACUCACUCAUGGCUCCCCACUACCCAGUGCUAUUCUCACACAGUAAACCAAAACCAGGACACUAGGGAAAAUGCAUUUUUCUGUAUGAAUGCAGAGGAGAGCACCUGUAAAGAAAAAGCAAUAUAUCAAGUCCUUUUUAUUCUAUUAAGAAUGAGUUAUAAUUAAACCUGUACAAAAUACUGAUUUUUCAUUUCAUUGUCUGAAUGGACCCCCACAUGCACACACAAAAUAAACUCAAACCCCAGAAAUAUUUUCAAGGUAAAGACUUGUUUAGAUUUCUAGUGCUUUUACUCCUUUAUAAAUAAAAUUGAGUCAGAUUUAAUUAUGAAAAUAAUUACAAAGACAAAAAUUGAGUAAGUAUAUGAUUUGCUUUCUGCUCUGUAAAAUUAAUACCUGAAUUUGAUCUUUAAAAGAUUGAAUUAAUGUUUUUGGUGACUAAAAAUUGCAUUUUUAGUACAUGAGCUGCACAUGACAAAAUGAUUCCUCUCUGCUAUAGACCAGACGCAGCUCUGCUGGGUCAUCUUUUCCUUUCCACAAGGUCUCUUUAUUGAAAACUGUUUAAGUACAGUAAAAAAUAAUUUUGAGUUGUGAAUUUGAUCAGAUACCAGACUCAUGACAGACUUACCAUCUACCUACACACGAGUUUUAGCAGUGGUCGGUUAAAAAAUAAGUGAAGUUGUAUUUACAGUCAAUGAAAGAUCACAUAUAGAAGAGGGCAAAAUGUAGGCUGAACAAAUGACUAAAUUUGCAGAAGUUUUUGACUUUUGGUUAUCUAAUGUUGAUUCCCACCUACUGUAACUUAAAUUUUAAUGAAUCCUGACUACUACCCUUGCAUGUAUUUCUUCAUAAAAUCAAAGAGGACCAUACUAAAGGGUAACAAGGAAGAGUGGUGUUUUCUGUGAUCAAAACUAUUCUGUGUAGUUUGUCUCUUAUGAGAAGAAAUUAUACUCAUUUCAAUAUAUAAUUUUAUUUUCACACAUCUAUUCUAAGUGUUUGAUCUAAUAAAUAGUGCUUUUAUCUUUAAGCCAUACUGAAACAAUUAUUUUUGCAUGCCUUCUUGUGACUUUUUGUUUAUCUUAAUGUCUAUGACACAAAUAGCUUCCUGGGAGCCAGGUACUGAAACAAAUGAGAUAAAUUUCAUUUCUCUAUUUUCCUUGAACUUGAAAAGUUGGUAAUUGUGGCUUUUUCUGUGUGUGUGUGUGUGUGUGUGUGUGUGUGUGUAUGUGUGGUGGUGUUGUUUUUUGUUUUGUUGUUGGUGGUGGUGGGCUUUUCUUUUUUUUGGCUAACAUGUUAGUUCUGUGCAGAAAACCACUAAAGCCCAUUGAAAUUCAUGUAGGCCUAUGGAAGGGCCAUUUGGCUGUAGACAGUGUGGUUAAUCCAGAACUUGGGGCUCAUGUGAAUAAGAAUAGCUGGGUGUAGAAGGAGGUUAGAGAAGCUGGCUGAAGUGUUAGUCUUCUAUUGCGCAGUUUUGUUAUGCUGUUUAAAUUAACAUGCUGAAUACAGUGCUUCAGAGGUAAAGCAAUCAUGGGACUGUAACUGCAGUGUGAAAUACAUUAUGAUUUACAAGGCACUCUGAUGGAAGAAAGAAUGAUGGAUGCUUUCAAAGACUGCCUACUGCAUCCACAGAGUGAAAUCUACAAAGCAUUCACUUCUGAGAAAAAUUCCCCAUUCUCCAUUAUAUCAGUGACAAUUACUUGCAUUACAGCCACACCAACAGUCUCCAGUCAAGACAAGAACCCAUCAGGCCGAAGUCUUUUCAGGUAUGUAAUACCAGUAGCUAGUGAAAGAGAAUAAAUCGGCUGUACUGACAAAAUGGGUAAAGAGGCAGAAGACUAAGUGAGUUCAGUUCCUUGAGGACAAGUCAGUGGAACAGACAAAUCCAGAACCCACCUCUCCUGACUGUCAUCCACUGGUUUAGCAUUAGAUCAUGUAGCCACUAUUUGACAUCAUCUAUGAUGUCAGAUCACUUGUAUGAAAUUUCCACAUAAAUAGUUUAAGCCACAUUUUAAGACAUUUUUUUGGUAGAUGCAUUUGUAUCCAUUUGUACAUAUAGAACUUCAGAGCAUCACUCAGUUUUGCAUAAGAAUAUAAUUUCUAAAAGACAAUAAUGCUGGUUUUGUCAGAUAUAUUUUCCAGUUUGAAAAGAAUCCUUGUCUUUCCUAAAGGACAACUGAAGAGCUUACUGAACUUAAACUAUCACCAAACUCAUCAAGAAGUGUAAAAAAUUAACAGUUGUAUUUUAUGUCAUUGGAAUUUCUCUGGUACUUGAAAUGACACAUAAUUCUCACCAGUUCGGUGGAAAAGAACAACUAACUAUAUGAAUCCUAACAGAGGACAAACUCCUACAUGCUUUUUUGAGAGCUGCUGCUAUAAAACUUUAUGUACAGAUAGCACAUGUGCAGGUUUGUCAAUCAUCAAAGACAUGUCUUCCAUUUUUAUAUUGGCAAUUAUCAGAUGUGACACAUUCCCAAAUUACAUAUUACUUCAAAACCUUCUGGACUAUGAUACAGAAUUUCGCUUUUAUUUUUAAGUUUCUCCCUGACCAAUUUACUUAAAUUGCCCUAGAAGCAAAAUCAGUUUCUUGUCAUUUCUAAGAUACUCUCCAUCAGCAUUUGCCCUAUGGAAAAGGUCCGUCAAAAAGCUAGUUCUGAAUUUGACUCAGGAAAAGCACAAAAAUAAAUCCCAUGUUUACAUGGUACACUUCUGUGACAGGUAGUAAGAUUGUGCAUGUCUCUCCUUCCAAUAUACUCUGAGCAAGUCAUGUCAGCAUUUAGGUUGCUGGAGAAGCUGUGCAAAAGGAACAUGCCUUAAAGACAAAGAUCACUAUCCUCUGAAUAUGCACUGGUUUCAAACAAACAAAAACCCAGCUAAGGAGUAUGCCUGGAGAUGGUAAGUAAAUUUCCGUGACUUAAAAGUGUUAAAACUUUUGUUUUUAACAUCAUGUUAUGUACUGUUAUCAUAUACUUCCACUCCACAGCACAGCAAACUUUGGAUGUCAAAAAGAAAAAUGUCCUACUUAAUGAGGAGCUGUUGCACUCAGAUUAUUUGACUGAUUGUCCCUUCUUCCUUAUAUGCCAGGGCAGCUUCAAAAUCAGGGCAACUGCCACACAUGACUUUCAAAUCAAGGACAUAUUAAUUUGACACAAUCAAUUAGUUCAUUUUCAUUGCAUAAUUUUGUGUCUUCCAUCUGCAAGUGGAAGGCAACACUGACAAAUUUAAUUUAAAAUGAAUAUAAUCAUUAGACAAUGAAGAAAUCUUUUGUUUGUUUUGCUUUUAAAGACUGAAAUUUCAUUAUAUUGUAAGUGGGAAUUACAAGGGAAAAACCGGAACUCAUCUUUCAAAAUGGAGUCUCAACACAUGGUGAAGGCAAAGUUUACUUAAUCUCCAGGAUUACACAGCAAUUUUUUACACAGUAAUUUCAAAUUUUUUGGUCAUAGUGGUUACACUCUGAUGCUGCCUUUUUCUUUUUUCUUUUUUUUUUUUUUUUCCCUAUGGGCUUAAGCCAGAAAGAUUUGCCUGAUUUUACAAAAAAAAAAAAAAAAAAAAAAAAAAAAGAAAAAAAAGAAAAAGGUACAGUAACCAAUUCAGUAUGCUGUUUCCAAAUGAAAAUUGUAUUUUUAUAUUUUUUUCUGUCCCAUUCAAAUACCUUUUUUUUUUUUUUAAUAAUAGUAUCCAUACUAUAAUAAAAUCAAAACAAUACAUUUUCUGUUGCAUGCCCAUGGAUCCUUCGUAUAAUACAGUCACUUCUGGGUGAAAUGCAGAAAAAUAUCCAAUGAAAGGCUGAACUUGCAGGUAAGAAGACAUUUGUAUAUGCAUUUUUUAAAGGAUUUUAUUGUAUCCUGGUGCAUAAUGUGUACAGAGAGCAAAAGAAACCUGCUCCCUUGCACUGGCUUCCACACAAGUCAGCAGUUCACAGGCAUUCAAAUGUACACAUUACUUCAUCUAGACAAUCUUUACCACCAUCAACAGCACAUGUUACCUCAAAUAAAUCUAUCUGGACAUUGGUUGUAUUACCAGAGUUUUACUCAAACAUAUAUCAUAUGAGCGCAGUAGAACAAGAACACACAGGAUAAAUACUUUCAAUGUACCAAAAAAUGUUAUCUCAAUACUCACCUAGCUCCUCACACACAGACAAGUACAAUAGCAUAAUAGGUUACAAAAAUAAGUCUGUAACUGUAUAGCUCCAUUUAAUGACUAAAUGUACAAAGCGACUAAGAAACAUUCCACUAGUAGAUAGAAUAGAUGUAAUUAGUAGAGAUUUAGAAAUACUGCUCUCUUAAAUGCAAGGCAGGUAUUUGUUGCACGACUUACUCUGACAACCAGAGAAAGACGCUUUGCAAUCAAAAGGAUGGCACUUAAAUCCCAGCCUCUAAAACACAGACAUUAUUCCGAUAGCCUUUAAAAUAUAUGACUAGGACUGAGAUCUGUGCAAAACUUUCUAUUAUAUACACAAAGGCACUAAAUCUACUAUAUCUGCUCAUGUGAGAGGCAAUAUUUCCAGCUAAAAAAUACAACAAUAUAAAGUAGAGUGACCUCCAACUGUGUAUCAGGCAGACGUACAUUUGGGUAUAUACCUUUCACCAAGUACAGUUCAGAAACAGAGAGUAAAAGGAUAGGUCUUCUACUAAUCAGCCUCUUCAGCCAUGCUUCAUCAUUUUUAAUUGUCUUUAAGAUAUUAUUUAUUUUGAUCUCUUCUCAAACGAACCCCCUUCUUCAGCCAGAUAACAUGCCAUUUACAAGUGGUACCGUGAAUUCUGUCAUGUGAGAUUAAACACAACAGUGCACUUUUCCACUUAUGACUGAUUGCCUCAUUUUUUUCCAUUCUGACAAUCUUGAUUUUUCAACCCUUCCACAAAGUUCCAUUAUUCUCAUCGCUCUCUGGGAGAAGACCUAGUUUUCAGAGAUCCAAAAAAGCAAAAUGCAAAAGGAGAAGCAAUCUUGAACUUGAUUUUUUUCUCUUUUAUUAUAUUCAUGCAUACAUGUAUACAUCAUUUACACUGUCUUCAUAAAUCAUUAGGUGUUUUUCAUUUACCAUUUAGACCAAAUCAAAUGGAAUUGCAUUCUGCUUUUGAAAGCUUUGCAUUUUCUAGUUGCUUUAGAAGACGGGACAGGUCUCAAGUUCAAGAAAGGGGAAACAGUUGUUUAUAUCUCCUAAGAAGAUUCAAGAAGCUGGAGUUUUCAUGUAGAGAGCCUUCCUCCUUAACACGGUGAAGACUGAAUAAAAUAAUGAGGCUGGAACAUCCUGGACAGUCUGAGGUUUACUUGCAUUUUGGAUACAGCAUUUCUCAAAAUUGCAGAACAUGUACACUUUAUUCAGGCUCCUUGUACUUCUCAGCUAGAUGGGAUGGAUUUUGGACAGAGACCCCCAUUGUGAAACAACUCCAGGAAUUCUUCUGAGUCUAAAGCACCUGCAGCUGAGUUCCCUGUCUUGGUUCUCAGGACAUUCACAUGCUAAUUGAGCAAGUGGACAUGCAAGCACAGCUCUCCACAGUUCUUAAGUUAUUUUAGCCAGAGCACUUCACUGCUGUUGCUUCUCACACAGUCCUGCAAACAGCAGAACCAUGGGACAGAAAUUAUUGAAGCCACAUAACAGCUGUCCAAGAGAAAUGUCACAGGAGCCACAGCUGCAGACUGAUGCUGAAUGGUACGUUGUGGGGUUUUUUGUAUGUUUGUUUGUUUGUUUUCUCCUUAUGAUUUUGUUUCGGACUUUGUGUUAUGUCAUUUCACUUCGGAAAACCUUCUUUUUUUUUUAGAACUAGCAUGUAUUAAUCAUCAGCUGAAUUGGGAAGAGUCAGGCAGUACCUUUUGAUAAAGCUGUGACAAUAAGCUGACAAUUUCCUCCUUGAGUUUCCUCAGCCUGUUAGUAUCUAUGCUGUCCUGAUUAAUGAACUGUAUAAAUCCUACAAUGACUCUUAUUCUUGCUCACUGUAUGUCUUAUGGGUUAUCAACCCAACAGCUCUUUUUCUUCUCCCUUCAGGUUUUGAAAGUUCAGUCCUGACCUUUGACUAGAUGGCUGCUACAGGAUUUAUCCUACAGUUCUGCGUUUUGUCAUAUAAAUUGACAAUUCUGCAGAUAGCCCCAUACUAUCAUGAGUACAAACGACUUGGAUGUGAGGUUCACAAAAAGGAAUUUAGGAGAAGAACUAAUGUGCUUCCUAUUCUCUCUAUAGUGAACAUCUUUCCCUAAACAUAAUGUAGACAAAAUUGGCAGAAUGGGGAAGAUUAUGUCCCUUACAGUAUUCAUCAUGACAUAGUAUACUGUCUGUCUUGAAUUAUUGCAGAGGAAUUGGAGCCACAUAAUAUGUAAUUAGUCAUAUAACAGAAUAUGUUAUCAGGGCUUCUUCAUUCUUGCAGGUUAGGAAAACACCUGGCUGGCCAUCAGAGAACAAGCAAACAGUUCCCUGACACCUUUUUCCUAAUUCCACAUCUCCCCUUCAACCUGAUCUCAUUUCUUCUCUCUGAUUGCUCUCAUAUCCUUUUUUUUUUUUUUUUUUUAUGAGAUAUUAGUGACAGUAGGGGUGCCAACCUACUUUUCUUUGAAACCUUAAAAUCCCAGAGCACUGCCACAGUACCAGGCAGCAGCUGCUGGUCAGGCAGUGCAUUGCAGCAGAAUGAGAGGGAAUGCACUUGCAAAUUUAAUUUGGUUUUCCUUUGCUCUUUUCAUUUGUGUUCAGAGACAAAGGAAACAGACUAGGAAGCAUGAAGAGGAGAAGGGAUUGUUCAGAGAAGAACAGAAAAGAGCAACCAGUUGAAAACAUUGGCAGAAAAUUUUCCAACCUGGCACUGCUUUGUGUUUCAUGUGGAUUACUGUUAGAGUGUUUCUGAGCACCUCUGAGGUUGAUGAGACACAGUAAGAGCAAAGAAACUGGAGCCCAAACUCGAGCCCACAUGAAUGAAUGAAAAAUGAACUCUAUGGCUACAAGCUUGCAUGACUUAACACCUGAUGGGGGGAGUAAUUCUUUUAUAGCUGUUGUUUUCCCCAUUUAGGAAUGUCCUUUAGGAAGAACAUAGCAGUAGAUCCAGCAAGCUGCAAAUAUAUAUUUUUAUGCUAUUGGAUAGCAAUCUUUCUUCUUUCCUUAAAAAGCAGGAAAUACCUGUACUCUAUGUAGUGAAAUUUGCUCAUUUUACAUAGAAAAAUAAAAGCUUGUAUCUCUGUUCUGCAUAUCAUCACAGUAUAGAUAUGCUUAGGAAUAUUAAACAAAAAUUUCGAAAGAGAUCAUUCAACAGAAAUCAAAUAUUUCAUUUUACUUUUAAAUAUGUGGGUUAAACAAGGGAAGUUUUGGAAUAUUGCCUUCAACCUGCAUUUUUUGACAAUGUGAGGCACUAUUUUAUAUUUGAUGGACCCAGCUCUCUCUCUCCCAGUUCUAAGACAUUAGCUAAAAAUCAAUAUUUUCUUAAGAAAAAUGCUGGGAACCUCCUAAUCUCUCUGAAAAUUGUUCUGAGAACUCAUUUAUUUAGCUCAGGAAUCUUCUGUCAGACGCCAAUAACAGCCACAAAGACUUGAAUCAGAUUAUGUGAAAGGACUUUCUCUUGAUAAAACUAAGGUUUGAACACCUCUCUGGUACAUUGUUCUUGCCUGCAGCUCCUUGAAUUUUAAAUAUACUUUCCUUGGUUACUUUUGGAGAUGACAUUUCCCUAGUAUAGCUCACAGAAGUCCUUGAGAAUAUGGGCUCACUACUAUCUUUUUAUUUAGGAAAAUAGGAAAUACAUAUCAAAAAGACACACAAAAAUCAGGCCUAUCUAUUUAUAAUAUGUACAAGAAUAUUAAGAACACAAGAUGGGCCCCUGGAGUUUACCCACUGCACAGCCAUGGCUAGGCACCAUCCACUUUACUUCAGACCAGCUUUCUAGGGCAUUGGUACAGUGAACAAUGAAGCAUGGUGCAGAGCUGCUACGGCUGAUUUGUCCACGCUGUAUAUGAUGGAACCAUGCAGAAAAAAUUAUUUGGUCUUUAGCACCUCUCAAGAGGGCUUAAUAACUCUGUAGCAGCUUAGGAGCAGCUGUCCCUGCUUCUGUUUCUGCAUAUAAUACAGACUUUGGUACCCAGGCAUUUCUGCACUGACAUUGAUAGACCAUGCCUUUAGUCACUUUGCAAGGCUGCUCCUCCUUCUCUAUCUGAUUAGCUCAUUUGUGAAGAACUGAUUUGUCAAGCUCCAUGUUGAUUUUGAGCUAGUUGUUUUUGUACUGGAAUAUCAGCUCUGCUUCUGCUGUCUUACAGGAACUAGAGUCACCAUCUGUCAUCUCUGUACAACGAAUUCUGUGCUGCUAACAGUCCGGUUAACACUGACUGCAAAGUUCACAGGACUGCUAUUUCAACAAACAACCCCAUCUGGGACUCCUAUCUAUACAUAUGGAAUUUUGUUACUUCUUAGGACAGUGUUUGUGCUCCAAAGAACCAAUCCACAAUAUUUUACUGAUGCUGGAGUUUGAUAUCAAGUCCAAAUCUUCUACUCAUAAUCAUUAAGUCAUUUGCUCCAUGGCAUAUGCUGCACAAUGUCCUCAGACCCCCUUUGAGUUCAAUACUAAUGGUUCUCUCUCACCUUUGCAUUUCCAAAACAAGCCUGGCUCGCAGUGAUGAAACCCAGCUGGUAGACUUCAUGAUAGAAACAACAUUGUUGUCUGGGUAAAUGAAGUUGCCAAGAGAUGCUUAUUUUCCGUCUUCAGAGGAGAGUGAUAGCAGAAAAUCCUAACUCUUGUACUUCUCUGAGCUUGAGUUGAUAUCAUGAUCUUAAAGCCAAUCUCAUGAUUUUUCAGAACCUCUACUUGCCAAUCACACAGAAGAAAUCUAUCCUGUUCAGGAAGGAGGAACUGUUUAUUAAGCUGCAGGAUUCAAGCAAAGGCCAAACAAGAAUAGGAAAGACUGGAUAGACUCAUAUGCUUUUUCUAAAGGAGACAUUUGUGUUGCCUACUGUCCUAAGAACUGUCAAAUUGAUUGCUGCCGGAGUGCACCAUAUGGGUUUUUAUCUACUUCUCUUCAAGUGGAAAUACUGUAUGCAUGCCUUGAAAAGGAUCAGGAAUUGGUAUUUUGACAGAACACCUCAGAAAAAUACUAUGUCACAAAACAUAGUGCAAAAUAAAAACAAUAUACCAGUUAAUGGUUCUUUUAUUUUACAUUUUCUUUCUUUCUCGAGAAGCAAUCUAGUUUCAAAGUAGCUUAUGUAUAAAUCUCUUUAAAGAAUCCUUGCUUGAUAUCACUCCAUUUCCUCUCUUUUGCCUUUCUCUUUCUGCUUCCCGCGCUCCUUUAUGGGGUUUAGCGAGUGAGAUGUGAGUUACACUGACAGAACAAACAUGAUAAAUUCCUGCUGCCCUGUGAAAUUUGUUCAGUAGAGUUCCUCUGCUGCUACGAAUCUUAAUGUUGUUCUCAGGCAGCAUUUUCAAUCCAUCAGAUACUGUACAGCUGCAUAUGUGCACCACGGCGGAAAGAUUUAUGGGUUCCUAUUUUUAGGACUCUGUGUUUUGGCACCUCCAUGCUGUUCAUUUGCCCAAACUGUAUUCUGCUAAUUAAACCUUAAGACCUAAAUUAUAAUGUACUUUGGGAUGUUCAGCCAAAGAAGCAAUGCAAUUGUCUGAACAUUUCUUGAUUGCAUAAAUUUAUACAUGAAAUAGCUUUCUUUUGAAGUAAAGAUACUAUAAUGCCGUAUUUUUCAUUCUGAAAGGAAAACAUAUAUUGCUUUUUACUAAUCUUUCAAUACACAGUUAUGUUAUUUUUUGUUAUUUCAGUAUAUUUAAUGUAUUGAUUUCGAUGAUACAAUAGUUCUUAACUUGAAAAGCUCUGGAUGAAGACUUUAUAAAGACGCACCAUCUUGGGGAACCUCCUUUGUAGAGGUUAAAGAACAGCUGAAAAUAUGGAAGUUAAAGGAAAGCAGCAGGAUCAGUUUUAUGCUGAAAUGGCAUUGACAGCCACUGGAAACUGUUGUGUCUGUAAGCUAAGGCCCAGCUUGUUUAUGUUAGUAUUCAUCUCGCAUUUUGGUGCAUCGUAUCUUUCAUAACUAGCCUUGCUUAGCAGUCUGUCUUGAAACAACACACUCACCCUGUAACACUUUUGCCAUCCCUAGCAAAGAGUGCUGUUUACCUUAACAUAAUACAAGAAAAUCACUUAAUAAUAAUCUCAUGGAGUCUCAUUUUACCUGGAAGCUGAGGCCUCAGUUAUUUGGUACAUGCUGAUUAAUAAUACAGCACAACAUUGAUUAUCAUCUGCAGAUGACUACUGAUACUCUUGAAUGAAAGUGUUAAGGGUGAAAUCGAAAUUGUUUGAAAAUGUUUAAUACUUUUACAUUAAGGUGGUGCUAUUGCAAAGUUUGUAUUUUAUUUUUUUAAAGGAAGUUAACUUUUGGGCUCAUGAAAAAUUAAAAUGAGAAACAGAGGAGAAAUCCUUGAUGCGGAAGAUGGAAAAAAUACUGUUUGAGGCUUCAGCAAAGCAGCAAUAAAUUAAGCCAUCUGAACUCAAGAAACCUAUGAUGCACUGAGCUUAGAACUAAUGAAGGACUAAGUUAAAUUUCUCAUCUUCUUAGGAUUAUGUAGAUUGAAUGAAGAAACAGAAUAUAACAGAAAAUGUUUUUCAAAGGCAAGUCUUACUAACAGCCUGGAAUUUCCAAGUGUUGAACUGAGAUGAGGGCAUGAGAAAGGCUAAGCAGGAGACGGCUAAAAAGAUACAUUUGGGGCAUGUUAAUACAGAAAGCACUGCAGCUCGAAUCUGCCCUCUCCAGUUAACACAGUGGAAACCUGGACAUGAAUCUUUGUCCUUCUCCAUUUAAUGAGGAAACAACUAGUUCUGUAGCCCUUUCUCCUUUGCUUAUGGGACAAUAUAAAAGGCACUUAUUAAGUGUUUACUUUGAGAGAAAAGUAGAUAUCCGAGACCAGAAAAACCCAAUGGUGUGGGAAAAGAAGUAGUAGUAAGGAAUCAUGGAAACAUUAUAUGGCUAAGUGAACCAGAAUUAUUACCAAAACUGCUGUCUUUAUUUCUGCUUCCCUGCCAAGCCUUGAAACUAGAUCACUUAUCAGUCUCCCUUCCAGCUUCCCACAUUCAAAAAAAAAAAAAAAAAAAAAAAAAAAGUAAAGAAAA